rnacentral:sRNA from 1 species
AGAGUCGCUGACGCGGCACUGCUGUCCUUCCCUGAUGUGAUCCGCCUGGGGCUCAUGCUCUGGGGCAGCAGCUCCAUCGUUUGCAUCCUGCACAGGCACAAGCGGCGGGUCCAGCACAUUCAUAGACCAGCGUCUCCCCCACAUCCUCCCCUGAGUCCAGAGCUACCAAAACCAUCCUCCUGGAGCAGGAAAGGACAAGGAGUCCCCGAAGCUGAUACUGAGUUCAUGGGGUUGAGCUGACAGCGGCCAACAGGCUGUCAUGGGAUCUCACUCUGUCGGCCAGGCUGGAAUGCAAUGGUGCCAACUUGGCUCAGUGCAACCUCCCCACCCCGGGCUCCAACAAUCCUCCCAUCUCAGCCUCUGAAGUAGCUGGGACUACAGGCGUUAUCUCCUGUCCGGGGAAGAGUCAAGCUGCACUAAUCUAGACCAGGGAUCCCCACCCCUGGGCUGCGGACCGGUCCCCAUGGGUGGCCUGUUAGGAACUGGACCGCACAGCAGGAGGAAGCACGUGGUUGAGAAGCAUCA